CCUACGGGUGGCUGCAGUGAGGAAUAUUGGUCAAUGGUCGGGAGACUGAACCAGCCAAGUCGCGUGAGGGAGGAAGGUACAGUGUAUUGUAAACCUCUUUUGUCAGGGAACAAAGACUGGGCCGCGUCCCCGGAUGAGUGUACCUGAAGAAAAAGCAUCGGCUAACCCCGUGCCAGCAGCCGCGGUAAUACGGAGGAUGCGAGCGUUAGCCGGAUUUAUUGGGUUUAAAGGGUGCGCAGGCGGUCUUUUAAGUCAGCGGUAAAAGGUUGGGGCUAAACCCCAGCCCGCCGUUGAAACUGGGAGUCUCGAGUGGGAGAGAAGUAUGCGGAAUGCGUGGUGUAGCGGUGAAAUGCAUAGAUAUCACGCAGAACUCCGAUUGCGAAGGCAGCAUGCCGGCGCCACACUGACGCUGAGGCACGAAAGCGUGGGUAUCGAACAGGAUUAGAUACCCGAGUAGUC
rnacentral:rRNA from 1 species